rnacentral:snRNA from 1 species
GCUCCGUGGGAAACUUGCAGGGUC